rnacentral:rRNA from 1 species
UACGGAGGGUGCAAGCGUUGUCCGGAUUUAUUGGGUUUAAAGGGUGCGUAGGCGGUUCUUUAAGUCCGGGGUGAAAGCCCACUGCUCACCAGUGGAACUGCCCUGGAAACUGGAGAACUUGAGUACAGACGAGGGCGGCGGAAUGGAUGGUGUAGCGGUGAAAUGCAUAGAUACCAUCCAGAACCCCGAUUGCGAAGGCAGCUGCCUAGACUGUAACUGACGCUGAGGCACGAAAGCGUGGGGAGCGAACAGG